GACGAACGCUGGCGGCGUGCUUAACACAUGCAAGUCGAACGGAGAGGCCCUGCUUGCAGGGUACUCGAGUGGCGAACGGGUGAGUAACACGUGGGUGAUCUGCCCUGCACUUCGGGAUAAGCUUGGGAAACUGGGUCUAAUACCGGAUAGGAACCAUCUUUAGUGUGGUGGUUGGAAAGUUUUUUCGGUGUAGGAUGAGCUCGCGGCCUAUCAGCUUGUUGGUGGGGUAAUGGCCUACCAAGGCGGCGACGGGUAGCCGGCCUGAGAGGGUGUACGGCCACAUUGGGACUGAGAUACGGCCCAGACUCCUACGGGAGGCAGCAGUGGGGAAUAUUGCACAAUGGGCGCAAGCCUGAUGCAGCGACGCCGCGUGGGGGAUGAAGGCCUUCGGGUUGUAAACUCCUUUCGCUAGGGACGAAGCUUUGUUGUGACGGUACCUAGAUAAGAAGCACCGGCUAACUACGUG
rnacentral:rRNA from 1 species